ACACUUAAAUUUUUUUAUUCAAACACUGAUUUAAAAUUAUCUUUUACUUACAAGUCCAUCUUUAGACAGUAUGAAAAUACUUAGACAUCCGAAACAUAAGUAUAUUGUAACUCGCUUAAAUCUUUAUUAUUAGUUGCACCUUGAUCUGUCAUGUAAAUUAUGUUUAUUUUGCAAACUUAUAUUCAAUUAAAUAUUUUUAAAAAAUAUUUUAGACGACGGCAUACAAACUGUAAAAUAAAGUGAAUAUUUCUUGGUGGCUAUCAAUUACUUAGUAAGUUCCCCUAUAGUUUAUUUAAGCCGCCAUAAUUUUUGAGUUUGACAUAAAAUUUGGGUACUACUCAAAGCUAAUUAAAGAGUAAAUAGGAAUAGUAGGGUAUCUAAUCCUAGUUUUAUAUAAAGCCUAUUUUUAAUUUGUAAUGGUAAAUUUUUAAAAUUUGCAGAUUAUAUUUCACUAUAAAGCUGUAUCUAAUCAUUACUUUUGUUUAAUUAGUUUGUUAUAUUUUACUUUUAGAUAAAGGUAUGACCGCGGUUGCUGGCACCAUAUUUACCUCAAAAGCUUACCUGAACUAAACUUAUAUUUUUAUAGUUUAUAAUUUCUCCAACUGGAAAAUUUAUAAUUAUUUCCAUAAUUGUAUUUAGGUAAAAGUAAUCUUUUCUAUCAAAUUAAAGUAGAAUGCUUGUCUAAAAAGGAUUUUUUCCUUUUUCGG
rnacentral:rRNA from 1 species